rnacentral:tRNA from 1 species
GGCACUGUAGCUCAGUCGGUAGAGCACAUGCUUAACAUUGGGCCUUUCGGCUACCACUCGCAUGUUGUCGUCGGUUCGAGCCCGGCCAGAGUCA